UGUCUGUCAACCCCUGCUGGGAGGUGUCUCCCAGUCAGGAGGCACGGGGGUCAGGGACCCACUUGAGGAAGCAGUCUGUCCCUUAGCGGAGCUCAAGAGCUGUGCCGGGAGAUCUGCUGCUCUCUUCAGAGUCAGCAGAUUCGUGGCUGAAGAUUAGAAGAAAAUCUGGCAGCCCUUAGCUGCCUCUUCAUAUUUAACUAUGGAGCACCAGAAAGCUUUCUCAGAAGCUGUGCAGCAAAAAUUCACUCUGAUGUGAUCUGGCUGAGUUGUUUUGUUAAUGAAAACCAAAGAGCUGCCAGAAAUCUGAAAUCCAAGUAAGGAAAUGUGGCUGAGAGUCUCAACAUUCAGUAGGUACAUUUUACUCAAUUCUCCUUGUUUUACUAUGCCACCCCUCCCCUCAAGUGACUCUUUGUCUCUUUAUUCUGUUUUAUUUUCCUUCUAAGCUCUCUACACUACAUGACCCACUAUAUUUUCAUCUCUUAUUCUGUUUAUUUUUGUCUUCAAUUAGAAUGUAAAGUCAAUGAAAACAAAUUUUAUUUUUGUUCACUGUUGUAUCCCCAAUGUCUGACAAC